AUUUCUAACAGAUAAGCAAAAAGGCAAUUGUAAGGAAACUGAUGAUGUUACAGGCAGUAGUUUGCAGCACCCACCUAAUUUGAAUGGUAUUGAGUUUUUAUAGACAUUGCAAAAGAGAUGAGAUGAGAGUCAGGAGAAAAUAUGAAGAGGAAAGAAGGCAGGGCAGAACUUUAUUUGUUGAGGCUUCAGACAUCAGGGAUUGCAAGAAAAAUCUUCCCCCCAGCCUGCUCAGAAAGCUGCCAUCUGCUGCAAGACCUGGAACCACAGUCGUAAGUUCCAGCAUCCACUAAAAAUGAUGAAGAUCAGAGAAUAAGAAAAAUGUGCUUCUGGCUAAGGCUGUUAUAUAAAAGGAAAGAAUAUGAAGAGAUCUCUACAGUCAGCAAAGGAAAAAACAAGAUAUUAUUUGCUGCAUUAUAUAGAAACAAAUGUCUUUCCAGUUAGGACCAAGUAAUCAAGAAAUCAAAAAUGACAAUGCUUUGGUCUCAAAGAGUGUGUCUAUGUCCUCCAACAGACCAGCACAGAGGUCUUCAUCUCUUGUCCUGUUUCCAUACCUUCAGAUCAGCCCACAGUCUCCCCUUGCAAGCAUGAACAGCAAGAUAUAAGCACAAGGUGGGAUUCAUCUGACCAGUA